GAGCUCAACAAUCUAACUGCACUGUCACGAAAGCACAUAAAAGCUGCCCAGUUUUUUCUGGUUGUUUCUAAAUCAGUACCACACAGUUUAUAACCGCAAGAGGAAAAAGAGAUUUUAACAGAAAGCAUGGGAGUAACAGUGCAUGUUGAAUACUGUGGAGGAUGAGGGUACGCUGCCCGUUAUCAGGAGCUUGCCAAGAAAAUCAAGGAGCAAGUUCCUGAUGCGGAGAUUUCAGAUGAAGUGGGCAGGAAAGGAAGCUUUGAAGUGA
rnacentral:lncRNA from 1 species